rnacentral:lncRNA from 7 species
GCGCACCCUUCGUUUUCCCCAGAUCGACGAACAACGGACCAAGUCAGGGCGGGCUGCCUCCGAUUCGUCUCGUCGCGAGUCGACGACGACCCUUGCGGAUCGGCCGGCUCUGCAUCUCGUCGACUUUGUAACAGGAUCGCUGCACGUACGGCAUUCGGCAUCACGAUCUCGUGAAAGAUCGUGAGGUUAGUCGUCUAUCCAUGCUCUCGCUCCCACCGUGAAAGGUUGCCCUGCGCGUUUAUUAUUAGGGCUAGAGAUUUCCGCCGAGAUAGUUUCGUUUUCGAAUAAUCAAUCCUUUUCUCUUCAUAUGUUUUUCUGUGCAAACUAAAAUUGUCGAACAAAAAAAAGAUUGAUUUGAUCUGUUCUUCUCGGACUAUUCGCCAUUGAAUCAUUGAUCGAUUUUGUUGAUCUCUAUUACAACUGAGGUAAUGGAUCAUGAUCUAAAUAUUUCUUUAUAAGUUGUUAAAUAUCUAAAUUAUUUUUUAUUCAAAAAUGGAUAGAAAUAUGAUCCGAUCCUAAUUCGAUUCGAUUCUUAAAUUUUAUAGUGUAAAUAUGAUCAUUGUCCCUCCUAAUUACAACAUGCUUGUUCUCAAAUUCAUGUUCUCUACUUUAUUUUAGGCAUUCUCCUGAAGUUAUUAGGCUCAGUUGGACUGUGAACAGAUGUCGAGCAAGUCUGACAACGGAACCAAUGUAAGUUAAAAGAUAUAUAUCACCUCUGGGCAAAUUAUUUGUAGCACGACUCAUUU